rnacentral:rRNA from 1 species
AACGAACGCUGGCGGCGCGCCUAAUACAUGCAAGUCGAACGAGAAUGUGUAGCAAUACACAUGUACAGUGGCGAACGGGUGAGGAAUACAUAGGUAACCUACCCUCGAGUGGGGAAUAACUAGCCGAAAGGUUAGCUAAUACCGCGUACGCUCCUUGGACUACGGUUCAGGGAGGAAAGCGAUACCGUGGGUAUCGCGCUCUUGGAUGGGCUUAUGUCCUAUCAGCUUGUUGGUGAGGUAACGGCUCACCAAGGCUUCGACGGGUAGCUGGUCUGAGAGGACGAUCAGCCACACUGGCACUGCGACACGGGCCAGACUCCUACGGGAGGCAGCAGUAAGGAAUAUUGCGCAAUGGGCGACAGCCUGACGCAGCGACGCCGCGUGGGGGACGAAGGUCUUCGGAUUGUAAACCCCUUUCGGGAGGGAAGAUGGGACGGGUAACCGUUCGGACGGUACCUCCAGAAGCAGCCACGGCUAACUUCGUGCCAGCAGCCGCGGUAAUACGAAGGUGGCAAGCGUUGUUCGGAUUUACUGGGCGUACAGGGAGCGUAGGCGGUUCGGUAAGCCCUCUGUGAAAUCUUCAGGCUUAACCUGGAACAGUCGGAGGGGACUGCUGGGCUAGAGGACGGGAGAGGAGCGCGGAAUUCC